rnacentral:rRNA from 1 species
AACCAGACUCCUACGGGAGGCAGCAGUGGGGAAUAUUGGGCAAUGGAGGGAACUCUGACCCAGCAACGCCGCGUGAAGGAUGAAGGUUUUCGGAUUGUAAACUUCUGUCGCGAGGGAUGAAGAAUGACGGUACCUCGUAAGAAAGCCCCGGCAAACUACGUGCCAGCAGCCGCGGUAAUACGUAGGGGGCGAGCGUUAUCCGGAUUUACUGGGUGUAAAGGGUGCGUAGGUGGCAUGGCAAGUCAGAAGUGAAAGCCCGGGGCUCAACCCCGCGGACUGCUUUUGAAACUGUCAGGCUGGAGUACAGGAGAGGUAAGCGGAAUUCCUAGUGUAGCGGUGAAAUGCGUAGAUAUUAGGAGGAACACCAGUGGCGAAGGCGGCUUACUGGACUGUAACUGACACUGAGGCACGAAAGCGUGGGGAGCAAACAGGAUUAGAUACCCCCGUAC